UACGUAGGGGGCAAGCGUUGUCCGGAUUUAUUGGGCGUAAAGAGCUCGUAGGCGGUUGGGCAAGUCACGUGUGAAAUCUCCACGCUCAACGUGGAGGCGCCACGUGAGACUGCCCUGACUCGAGUCCGGUAGGGGAGCGUGGAAUUCCCGGUGUAGCGGUGAAAUGCGCAGAUAUCAGGAGGAACACCAAUGGCGAAGGCAGCUCGCUGGGACGGUACUGACGCUGAGGCGCGAAAGCGUGGGUAGCAAACAGG
rnacentral:rRNA from 1 species